UUUUCAAUUUUGUCGGGCGCUUGCUCUCUAUAUAUUUGGGAGUUACCAAACUGUACCGCAAUUGGGCUAGGGUAACCUUUUCAUUGUUCAAGCGAUUUCGUGAUCACAGCGAAGCGAAACCCUAACCCUAGAUUUCAGACAUGUCUUCAAAGCAAGGUGGGAAAGCGAAGCCUUUGAAGGCGCCAAAGAGUGAGAAGAAAGAGUACGACGAGAAUGACAAGGCUUUUAUCCAGAAGAAGAAGGAAGAGGAGAAGGCUCUGAAGGAGCUUAAAUCGAAGGCUCAAAAGGGAGCACUUGGAGGUGCAGGGCUAAAGAAAAGUGGAAAGAAAUGAAAAUUUAUGAAGAACUACUAGCCCUUUGUUGUCAUUGUAAUGCGAUCUUUCUAUUUGGUUUAAAUCAAUUCAGCACUACGUUCUUGCUUAGAUUAACUAUCGAGCAACUUCUUAUGAAGUUUGUGUAAAACUAUUUGUUUGGGCCAAUAAACGUGCGUGGUUUUGUAUAUC